AUGGAAAGACACCUGCUUCUAAUUUUAAUCCAUAUUUCAGGUGUGAUGACUGCAGAACAGAUCAACCCAAAUAAAGGAACUAAAAUUAUAAAGAAAGAAGAGGAGAAUGUGACCAUGAGCUGCUCAUAUGACACAAGCAGCAGUUAUGUUAGACUUUACUGGUAUAGACAGAAUCCUAACAAAGAACCUCAGUAUUUAAUGUGGAAAGAGGCUCGGUCAUGGAAUGAUACUGCAACCCCCUCUGAUCCUCGGUUGCAAUCAACUACAUCCGAAACAUCCACUGAACUCAUUAUUAAUGGUGUAACUCUGUCAGAUUCAGCUCUCUAUUACUGUGCUCUAGAAGCCCAGUGA